rnacentral:lncRNA from 1 species
GCGAGUGUGAAACCGCGUGUUAAUGUAAGCGGCGCAAGAGGCGCGGGCGGCGGCAGGAGCAGCGGCGGGGACCCCGCGUCCCGGGGCAGGAGCCGGGACUCGCCUUCGACGUGGCCCUCUGUGGAGGGAGGCAGAGCGGCAGCGUGCUCUCCGUCGCGCGGACGUUUGCCUCCGGGUCGUGAGAGAACUUUGCGCCGGCUGGAGCUGGUCAGCCCUUUGCUUAGAGCCGAGGAGGGGAAGGCAGGCUCUAGGAGUGUUAGAGCCGGGUAAAGCGCCCGGCGGCCUGAUGCCCGGGGCAGGGGCGCGGCGGGCGGCCAAAGAGCUGCACCGCGAGCAGUAGCCGUGGACUGGAGGAAGAGCGCAUACUGGCGUGACCCUGCCUGGACCCUGCUUGGGCUCCGCAGCUUCAAGCCGCGCCGGAGACUCUGCAACGCCGGUCGACGAGCCGGGGGUAACCCGGAGCACACCGUCGUGGGAGCGGGUGACCUCCCGACCCGAGAAGCGGCGCUCGCCUCUGGCUGUCUACGUGGGUUUUAGCCAAGGCGCCACCUGCACAGCCGCCGACGCAGGGAGGAGACACACAGCCCCCCUGCAUCCGUGAGCCACCGAAGGGAGCGCACCCCGGGCACCGGGUGGAGGGCCGCGGUAGGUCCGGGCGCCCCCGCUGCUCAGACUCCCAGGCGCGGGGCCGAGCCGCCCGCAAUGUGGCCCUGAGGGCGGGGGCCGCACCCGUCGCGCCCUGGCCUUGCAUCCCGAGCGCCCCGUGCGCCGGCCUGCUGCGCUGCUUCGCGUUCCUCGGUGGAAUUCAAGUUGGAAGUGGCGCGGAGGAUAGAGCUAUCCCGGAACAGAGCCGCGGCUGCUGCCAGAGCGAUGUUCCCUCAGAGCCGGCACCCAACGCCGCACCAGGCUGCAGGCCAGCCCUUUAAGUUCACUAUCCCGGAGUCCCUGGACCGGAUUAAAGAGGAAUUCCAGUUCCUGCAGGCGCAGUAUCACAGUCUUAAAUUGGAGUGUGAGAAAUUGGCAAGUGAAAAGACAGAAAUGCAGAGACACUACGUGAUGUAUUAUGAAAUGUCAUAUGGAUUAAACAUUGAAAUGCAUAAACAGACCGAAAUCGCCAAGAGAUUGAAUACCAUUUGUGCACAAGUCAUCCCAUUUCUGUCUCAGGAACAUCAACAACAGGUGGCCCAGGCUGUCGAACGUGCCAAACAGGUGACCAUGGCAGAGUUGAAUGCCAUCAUCGGGGUACGUGGCCUACCAGGUCUACCUCCUACACAGCAGCAGUUGCAAGCUCAGCAUCUCUCCCAUGGCCAUGGACCCCCAGUACCUCUCACGCCUCACCCUUCAGGACUUCAGCCUCCUGG